UACGUAGGCAGCAAGCGUUGUUCGGAAUUACUGGGCGUAAAGAGUGUGUAGGCGGUGCUCCAAGUCUGGUGUGAAAUCUCCCGGCUUAACUGGGAGGGUGCAUUAGAAACUGGAAUGCUAGAGGAUGGGAGAGGUAAGCGGAAUUCCUGGUGUAGCGGUGAAAUGCGCAGAUAUCAGGAGGAACACCGGUGGCGAAGGCGGUUCUCUGGCAAUGUUCUGACGCUGAGGAGCGAAAGUGUGGGGGAGCGAACAGG
rnacentral:rRNA from 1 species